rnacentral:rRNA from 1 species
CAUGCAAGNCGAACGGUAACAGGUCUUUCGGGAUGCUGACGAGUGGCGAACGGGUGAGUAAUACAUCGGAACGUGCCCAGUAAUGGGGGAUAGCUCGGCGAAAGCCGGAUUAAUACCGCAUACGCCCUGAGGGGGAAAGUGGGGGACCGCAAGGCCUCACGUUAUUGGAGCGGCCGAUGGCUGAUUAGCUAGUUGGUAGGGUAAAGGCCUACCAAGGCGACGAUCGGUAGCUGGUCUGAGAGGACGAUCAGCCACACUGGGACUGAGACACGGCCCAGACUCCUACGGGAGGCAGCAGUGGGGAAUUUUGGACAAUGGGGGAAACCCUGAUCCAGCAAUGCCGCGUGUGCGAAGAAGGCCUUCGGGUUGUAAAGCACUUUUGUCAGGGAAGAAAUCCUUUGGGCUAAUACCCUAGGGGGAUGACGGUACCUGAAGAAUAAGCACCGGCUAACUACGUGCCAGCAGCCGCGGUAAUACGUAGGGUGCAAGCAUUAAUCGGAAUUACUGGGCGUAAAGCGUGCGCAGGCGGUU